CGCGAAUCUUGAAUAAUGAAGUUUAUAAAAUGGCGUCCACAUAGAAGGAUUUUAAAUGUUAUGUUUUACUCUGUUUCAGUUCGAUACACGAGUCGUUAUUUUAGUACUAAAACCACGAAUGCAGGCAUGGAUUACGAAAUAUUGCAUAAUGAAGUUGAUGGUGAAUUUUACAUUAAUUUGAAAGACGGUACACUACCAGCUACAUAACAUCGUUAUUAUCGUUUUAUUGUUGUCAUUUUUGUUACUAAUAUACUUGUACAGGUAGUCACAUAAACCGUAAUUUUGUUUCAGAAAAGGCUGUACUACAAUAUAAAUAUCUCGACGAUAAAGAAAAUACAGUUGAUUUUUACCAUACUGGUGUACCUAGUGCAUAUCGAGGAAAGGGAUUGCUGCUGAGUUAGUAAAGUUUGCAUUUGAACACAUGGCAUCGUUGAACGUACAGGUCUCUCCGUCUUGCUCAUAUGUUGAACAUUACAUCGCGAAAAACAAGAAUUCUGAUCUGGUGAAAAAAUUAAAAAUUAAAUUAUGACCAUGAAGCAUCAUAAAUUAUUCAACAUGUCCGCCAAAUCGUUAUCAUCUUCUGCCCCUGCAAUGAACUCAUCCAAAGAUAAAACGCCAUCUGAGUUCUUAUCAACUCGUUUAAAUAUAUCGUCGGUCAUCUCUUUUGCUAAUUGGUCAUCGUCAUAUUUUCCCGAAAGCUUUUGAAUCGCUCUCAAGAUUCCAAGAAGCUCCUCUCUAAAUAAAACAUUUGUAAAGGAGUUGUAUUCGAACUCGGAAUUAUUAUAAAUAAUAGUCGUAUAAUACGGGAAUAUGAAAGUUAACCUUGUGAUAAAGCCAUUUCCAUCGACAUCGUACAUAUUAAAUGCCCAUUUUAACCUUUCA